UACGUAGGGUGCAAGCGUUAUCCGGAAUUAUUGGGCGUAAAGAGCUCGUAGGCGGCUUGUCGCGUCGACUGUGAAAACCCGCGGCUCAACUGCGGGCUUGCAGUCGAUACGGGCAGGCUAGAGUUCGGUAGGGGAGACUGGAAUUCCUGGUGUAGCGGUGAAAUGCGCAGAUAUCAGGAGGAACACCGGUGGCGAAGGCGGCCUGCUGGGCAGUAGCUGACGCUGAGGCACGAAAGCGUGGGGAUCAAACAGG
rnacentral:rRNA from 1 species